rnacentral:rRNA from 1 species
UACAGAGGGUGCGAGCGUUAAUCGGAAUUACUGGGCGUAAAGCGUGCGCAGGCGGUUAUAUAAGACAGUUGUGAAAUCCCCGGGCUCAACCUGGGAACUGCAUCUGUGACUGUAUAGCUAGAGUACGGUAGAGGGGGAUGGAAUUCCGCGUGUAGCAGUGAAAUGCGUAGAUAUGCGGAGGGACACCGAUGGCGAAGGCAAUCCCCUGGACCUGUACUGACGCUCAUGCACGAAAGCGUGGGGAGCAAACAGG